AUUGAACGCUGGCGGCAUGCUUUACACAUGCAAGUCGAACGGUAACAGGCCUUCGGGUGCUGACGAGUGGCGAACGGGUGAGUAAUGCAUCGGAACGUACCCAGAGGUGGGGGAUAACGCAGCGAAAGCUGUGCUAAUACCGCAUGUGAUCUGAGGAUGAAAGCGGGGGACCGAGCAGCAAUGUUUUGCCUCGCGCCUUUGUAGCUGCCGAUGUCGGAUUAGCUAGUUGGUGGGGUAAAGGCCUACCAAGGCGACGAUCCGUAGCUGGUCUGAGAGGACGACCAGCCACACUGGGACUGAGACACGGCCCAGACUCCUACGGGAGGCAGCAGUGGGGAAUUUUGGACAAUGGGCGCAAGCCUGAUCCAGCAAUGCCGCGUGCGGGAAGAAGGCCUUCGGGUUGUAAACCGCUUUUGGCAGGAACGAAACGGUGUCCGCUAAUACCGGGCGCUAAUGACGGUACCUGCAGAAUAAGCACCGGCUAACUACGUG
rnacentral:rRNA from 1 species